rnacentral:tRNA from 1 species
GGGGGUGUAGCUCAGUUGGGAGAGCGCUAGCUUCGCAUGUUAGAGGUCGGGGGUUCGAGCCCCCUCAUCUCCACCA